CCUACGGGGGGCUGCAGUGGGGAAUUUUGGACAAUGGGGGCAACCCUGAUCCAGCCAUGCCGCGUGAGUGAAGAAGGCCUUCGGGUUGUAAAGCUCUUUCGGCCGGGAAGAAAUCGCUCAAGCUAAUACCUUGGGUGGAUGACGGUACCGGAAGAAGAAGCACCGGCUAACUACGUGCCAGCAGCCGCGGUAAUACGUAGGGUGCGAGCGUUACGUAGAAUUACUGGAGGCGGAGCCAUAGCAGGGGGGUGAAAUCCCCGGGCUUAACCUGGGAACUGCGUUUGUGACUGUGGUGCUCGAGUGCGGCAGAGGGGGGUGGAAUUCCACGUGUAGCAGUGAAAUGCGUAGAGAUGUGGAGGAACACCGAUGGCGAAGGCAGCCCCCUGGGUCGACACUGACGCUCAUGCACGAAAGCGUGGGGAGCAAACAGGAUUAGAUACCCGUGUAGUC
rnacentral:rRNA from 1 species